GGAAUUUUGGACAAUGGGCGCAAGCCUGAUCCAGCAAUGCCGCGUGAGUGAAGAAGGCCUUCGGGUUGUAAAGCUCUUUUGUCAGGGAAGAAACGGUGGACUCUAAUACAGAUCACUAAUGACGGUACCUGAAGAAUAAGCACCGGCUAACUACGUGCCAGCAGCCGCGGUAAUACGUAGGGUGCAAGCGUUAAUCGGAAUUACUGGGCGUAAAGCGUGCGCAGGCGGUUUGGUAAGACAGAUGUGAAAUCCCCGGGCUCAACCUGGGAAUUGCAUUUGUGACUGCCCGGCUAGAGUGUGUCAGAGGGGGGUAGAAUUCCACGUGUAGCAGUGAAAUGCGUAGAGAUGUGGAGGAAUACCGAUGGCGAAGGCAGCCCCCUGGGAUAACACUGACGCUCAUGCACGAAAGCGUGGGGAGCAAACAGGAUUAGAUACCCCGG
rnacentral:rRNA from 1 species